UGGGGAAUCUUGCACAAUGGGCGGAAGCCUGAUGCAGCGACGCCGCGUGCGGGACGAAGGCCUUCGGGCUGUAAACCGCUUUCAGCAGGGACGAGGCGAGAGUGACGGUACCUGCAGAAGAAGCCCCGGCUAACUACGUGCCAGCAGCCGCGGUAAUACGUAGGGGGCAAGCGUUAUCCGGAUUCAUUGGGCGUAAAGCGCGCGUAGGCGGCCAGCCUGGUCGGGAGUCAAAUCCGGGGGCUCAACCCCCGUCCGCUCCCGAUACCGGCCGGCUUGAGUCUGGCAGGGGAAGGCGGAAUUCCCGGUGUAGCGGUGGAAUGCGCAGAUAUCGGGAAGAACACCGGUGGCGAAAGCGGCUCUCUGGUUUGUAACUGACGCUGAGGUUCGAAAGCGUGGGUAGCAAACAGGAUUAGAUACCCUGGUAGUCCACGCUGUAAACGAUGAAUGCUAAGUGUUGGAGGGUUUCCGCCCUUCAGUGCUGCAGCUAACGCAUUAAGCAUUCCGCCUGGGGAGUACGACCGCAAGGUUG
rnacentral:rRNA from 1 species